rnacentral:rRNA from 1 species
GGGGAAUAUUGCACAAUGGGGGAAACCCUGAUGCAGCAACGCCGCGUGAAGGAUGAAGGUUUUCGGAUUGUAAACUUCUUUAGUCAGGGACGAAUAAAUGACGGUACCUGAAGAAUAAGCCACGGCUAACUACGUGCCAGCAGCCGCGGUAAUACGUAGGUGGCAAGCGUUGUCCGGAUUUACUGGGUGUAAAGGGCGCGUAGGCGGGAUAGCAAGUCAGAUGUGAAAUGCCAGGGCUUAACCCUGGAGCUGCAUUUGAAACUGCUGUUCUUGAGUAUCGGAGAGGCAGGCGGAAUUCCUAGUGUAGCGGUGAAAUGCGUAGAUAUUAGGAGGAACACCAGUGGCGAAGGCGGCCUGCUGGACGACAACUGACGCUGAUGCGCGAAAGCGUGGGGAGCAAACA